rnacentral:rRNA from 1 species
ACGGGAGGCAGCAGUGGGGAAUAUUGGGCAAUGGGGGCAACCCUGACCCAGCAACGCCGCGUGAAGGAAGAAGGCUUUCGGGUUGUAAACUUCUUUUACCAGGGACGAAGAAAGUGACGGUACCUGGAGAAAAAGCCACGGCUAACUACGUGCCAGCAGCCGCGGUAAUACGUAGGGAGCGAGCGUUGUCCGGAUUUACUGGGUGUAAAGGGUGCGUAGGCGGGCUUGCAAGUCAGGCGUGAAAUACCGGGGCUUAACUCCGGGGCUGCGCUUGAAACUGUAAGUCUUGAGUGAAGUAGAGGCAGGCGGAAUUCCCAGUGUAGCGGUGAAAUGCGUAGAUAUUGGGAGGAACACCAGUGGCGAAGGCGGCCUGCUGGGCUUUAACUGACGCUGAGGCACGAAAGUAUGGGGAGCAAACAGGAUUAGAUACCCUGGUA